rnacentral:rRNA from 1 species
UAAUAUGAGAGUUUGAUCCUGGCUCAGGAUGAACGCUGGCGGCGUGCCUAAUACAUGCAAGUCGAGCGAGAUAUCGUUUAUGACUGAAGGUGCUUGCACCUGAGGGACUAAACAUUUUAUCGAGCGGCGGACGGGUGAGUAACACGUAGGUAACCUACCCUAAAGCGGGGGAUAACAUCUGGAAACAGGUGCUAAUACCGCAUAACAACAUUUAUCGCAUGAUGAAUGUUUAAAAGAUGGUUUCGGCUAUCACUUUAGGAUGGACCUGCGGCGCAUUAGUUAGUUGGUGAGGUAACGGCUCACCAAGACGAUGAUGCGUAGCCGAACUGAGAGGUUGAUCGGCCACACUGGGACUGAGACACGGCCCAGACUCCUACGGGAGGCAGCAGUAGGGAAUCUUCCACAAUGGACGAAAGUCUGAUGGAGCAACGCCGCGUGAGUGAAGAAGGUUUUCGGAUCGUAAAACUCUGUUGUUGGAGAAGAACGUAUCUAAUAGUAACUGAUUAGGUAGUGACGGUAUCCAACCAGAAAGCCACGGCUAACUACGUGCCAGCAGCCGCGGUAAUACGUAGGUGGCAAGCGUUAUCCGGAUUUAUUGGGCGUAAAGCGAGUGCAGGCGGUUAAUUAAGUCUGAUGUGAAAGCCCUCGGCUCAACCGAGGAAGUGCAUCGGAAACUGGUUAACUUGAGUGCAGAAGAGGAGAGUGGAACUCCAUGUGUAGCGGUGGAAUGCGUAGAUAUAUGGAAGAACACCAGUGGCGAAGGCGGCUCUCUGGUCUGUUACUGACGCUGAGGCUCGAAAGUAUGGGUAGCAAACAGGAUUAGAUACCCUGGUAGUCCAUACCGUAAACGAUGAGUGCUAAGUGUUUGGGGGUUUCCGCCCCUAAGUGCUGGAGCUAACGCAUUAAGCACUCCGCCUGGGGAGUACGACCGCAAGGUUGAAACUCAAAGGAAUUGACGGGGGCCCGCACAAGCGGUGGAGCAUGUGGUUUAAUUCGAAGCAACGCGAAGAACCUUACCAGGUCUUGACAUCUCCUGAAAAAUCUAGAGAUAGAUCUUUCUCUUCGGAGACAGGAUGACAGGUGGUGCAUGGUUGUCGUCAGCUCGUGUCGUGAGAUGUUGGGUUAAGUCCCGCAACGAGCGCAACCCUUAUUGUCAGUUGCCAGCAUUAAGUUGGGCACUCUGGCGAGACUGCCGGUGACAAACCGGAGGAAGGUGGGGACGACGUCAAAUCAUCAUGCCCCUUAUGACCUGGGCUACACACGUGCUACAAUGGUCGGUACAACGAGCAGCGAGUUCGCGAGGACAAGCAAAUCUCUUAAAACCGAUCUCAGUUCGGAUUGUAGUCUGCAACUCGACUACAUGAAGCUGGAAUCGCUAGUAAUCGCGGAUCAGAAUGCCGCGGUGAAUACGUUCCCGGGCCUUGUACACACCGCCCGUCACACCAUGAGAGUUUGUAACACCCAAAGCCGGUGGGGUAACCUUUUAGGAGCUAGCCGUCUAAGGUGGGACAGAUGAUUAGGGUGAAGUCGUAACAAGGUAGCCGUAGGAGAACCUGCGGCUGGAUCACCUCCUUU